UGUCCUCAGUUGAGGAUAAAAAAGUAUAAAAAAUAAGACCAGAACAGUAUAAUAAAGAAAAAACUGGGCCAUUUCUGCCUGUUAUAAAAUUAUAAUAUAAAGCAUUAACAAAAAUUCAGUUGUAUGAGAUCAUAUCAUGAUCAGGUAGACUUUUAUAGGAAAUACAAGGAUGGAUGGUUUAGCAUUUAGCAGCAUAUUAAUAUAACUAAUUUCAUUAACUGAUAUAAAAAAUUCUUCCAUUCUCUAAAGAUGUGAAAAACAUUAAUCAACUUCAAAAUCAGUUCCUGAUUUUUAAAGGCUCUUAACAUAUUACAAAUAGGACAAAACUGAUUAAACAGAUAAAAAGUCAUAAAGGUAAAAUAUACAUUGCACUAAAAGUGGAAGAAACAUUAGCAUUGCCAUUAAUACUCAAAGCAGCACAAGUAUAUCUCAAUAAUUUCAGAUGUCCAAUAUUAUAAUGAAUAAUUGAAUAAAACAAUAAUGUAGGAAAAAUCAGUUAUGAAGAUUUGAAAGGAAGAAACAAAACUGUCUUUAUUUUUGUCUUAGAAUGUCCAAGACAAUAAACUAUUAGAAAAAGGACAAAUUCAGCAAAAUAUCUGGAUUCAAAGUCAAUACA